rnacentral:rRNA from 1 species
UACGGAGGGUGCAAGCGUUAUCCGGAUUCACUGGGUUUAAAGCGCACGUAGGCGGAUAUUUAAGUCAGGGGUGAAAUCCCGGGGCUCAACCCCGGAACUGCCUUUGAUACUGGGUAUCUAGAGUAUGGUAGAGGUGAGUGGAAUUCCGAGUGUAGAGGUGAAAUUCGUAGAUAUUCGGAAGAACACCAGUGGCGAAGGCGGCUCACUGGACGACUGUUGACGCUGAGGUACGAAAGCGUGGGGAGCAAACAGG